UGUGUAGGCGGACCGUUAAGUGCUUUGUGAAAUCCCCCGGCUUAACCGGGGAACGGCUGGGCAUACUGGCGGUCUUGAGCCACCUAGGGGCAGCUGGAACAAACGGUGGAGCGGUGAAAUGCGUAGAUAUCGUUUGGAACGCCAAAGGUGAAAACAGGUUGCUGGGGGUGUGCUGACGCUGAGACACGAAAGCCAGGGGAGCGAACGGGAUUAGAUACCCCGGUAGUCCUGGCCCUAAACGAUGUCCACUAGAUCGCGGAGCCUCUGACGGUUUUCGCGGUCGAAGCAAAAGUGCUAAGUGGACCGCCUGGGAAGUACGGUCGCAAGGCUAAA
rnacentral:rRNA from 1 species